GCUGCACGCUAGCGGCAGGCAUAAUACAUGCAAGUCGAACGGUGUAGCAAUACACAGUGGCGCAAGGGUGCGCAACACGUAUGCAACCUACCUUACAUUGGGGGAUAGACUUUCGCAAGGGAGGUUAAUACCGCAAAAGACAGUAACCAGGCAUCUAGUAGCUGUACAAGACUUAUCGAUGUAAGCUGGGCAUGCUUCCAAGUAGUUAGUUGGAGAGGUAAUGGAUCACCAAGACGAUGAUUGGUAGGGGAACUGAGAGGGCAAUCCCACACACUGGAACUGGGACACGGGCCAGACGCCGACAGGAGUCAGCAGUAUGGAAUAAUGGGCAAUGGCCGCAAGCCUGACCCAGCCAUGCCGCGUGCAGGAAGAAGGCGUUAUGCGUUGUAAACUGCUUUAUACAGGAAGAAACGACCCUUUCGUAUGGCAUUGACGGUACUGUAUGAAUAAGCACCGGCUAACUCCGUGCCAGCAGCCGCGGUAACAC
rnacentral:rRNA from 1 species